GAUGAACGCUGGCGGCGUGCCUAAUACAUGCAAGUCGAGCGAACAGACGAGGAGCUUGCUCCUCUGACGUUAGCGGCGGACGGGUGAGUAACACGUGGAUAACCUACCUAUAAGACUGGGAUAACUUCGGGAAACCGGAGCUAAUACCGGAUAAUAUAUUGAACCGCAUGGUUCAAUAGUGAAAGACGGUUUUGCUGUCCCUUAUAGAUGGAUCCGCGCCGCAUUAGCUAGUUGGUAAGGUAACAGCUUACCAAGGCAACGAUGCGUAGCCGACCUGAGAGGGUGAUCGGCCACACUGGAACUGAGACACGGUCCAGACUCCUACGGGAGGCAGCAGUAGGGAAUCUUCCGCAAUGGGCGAAAGCCUGACGGAGCAACGCCGCGUGAGUGAUGAAGGUCUUCGGAUCGUAAAACUCUGUUAUUAGGGAAGAACAAAUGUGUAAGUAACUAUGCACGUCUUGACGGUACCUAAUCAGAAAGCCACGGCUAACUACGUG
rnacentral:rRNA from 1 species